GGAUGUGAGAGCGAUCUGGCUGUGACAUCUGUCACCCCAUUGAUCACCAGGGUUGAUUCGGUUGAUCUGGCUGGUUAGGUGGGUGUCCCUUUCCUCCCUCACCGCUCCAUGUGCAUCCCUCCCAAAGCUGUGUACUCAGUCGAAGAGGACGACCUUCCCCUAUAGAGGAAGUCAAGGGUAUACGAGUAGCUGCGCUUCCCUGCUAGAACCUCCAAACAAGCUCUCAAGAGUCCCAGGAACAGUGAUGCCUGUCAUGUAUGGGGUUGGUGCUCUUUUAU
ensembl:misc_RNA 7SK 7SK RNA